GUUUUGUUCCGAAGCAAAGAUAUCCGCGGAGGCCGGUUCGUUCGUCCUAUUCUGAUAUGCAAGACCAAGAGGUACUGGAUUCUCUUUCGGAUAGGCCCUGGAAGGAGAAGAAAGGCUGAAAUGCCAACGGACCUCUGUCUAUUCUCUAAUUCACCCGAUCUGAUAGUACCCGUUUUUGGAACGUCCAGUGCCAAAGUCACUGAGUGGGUAAGUCACCAAUCCAAUCCCUUUGACAAAUCGGAUGUCAUAUUAGAUAUCAUAUUCUAUAUAUAGAGAGAAAUAUCAUACAUAUAA
rnacentral:rRNA from 1 species